rnacentral:rRNA from 1 species
AUUCCAGCUCCAAUAGCGUAUAUUAAAGUUGUUGCAGUUAAAAAGCUCGUAGUUGGAUUUCUGGCGGGAGCGGCCUGUCCUGCCCUUUGCGGGGUUGAGCACAAGCGCUGCAUCCGGCCAUCCUUGUGGAGAGCGUUUCUGGCAUUCAGUUGUCGGACUCGGGAUCCGCAUCGUUUACUGUGAAAAAAUUAGAGUGUUUAAAGCAGGCAUUUGCUUGAAUACAUUAGCAUGGAAUAAUAAGAUAGGCCUUAGUCGUUAUUUUGUUGGUCUUGCACGUCUAGGUAAUGAUUAAUAGGGAUAGUUCGGGGUAUUCAUAUUUAAUUGUCAGAGGUGAAAUUCUUGGAUUUAUGAAAGACGGACUACCGCGAAAGCAUUUGCCAAGGAUGUUUUCAUCG